rnacentral:lncRNA from 1 species
AACUAAGCAAUGUAAUAUUGUGUGGCAGUCCUGAUUUUAAGGGUUUGGAUAGCAGUAUUUAAAAAUCAGAGUUACCUCCCUUUGUCAGUUUUAUUGUGUUUUGUGUGCAUUCAUGUGCAUUGACCCUAGGUCACUAUUUUUCCCUCUGAAAUGCUUUAAUUUCAUUGGAUUAGCCUCUGAUAAGAUAUCUGGUCAUUGUCUAGAUUGUCAUGUUUCUGAAAGCAUGUAUUGAACUUUUUAUUUUAAGAAUAGUUGAAUUUAUAUUGGAUUAUUACAGACCUAAACAGAUCACAGUGUGUUUGUGUGUGUGUUUUUCUGGACUGAGUACUGCUGUAACAUAUGGUGCAUUUAGGUCCACAACCUGGAUGUGUUUUUACCAUACAUUAUGGAGAUAGAUCUACCAAUAUUAAAAUAGUAAACUGUAUACAAUGGUAUGGCUCAUUGACCCACAAAGGAAUAACAAGAAGAACCCAUCCCCAUAAACGAUAAACACUUAUUAGUUAUACUGCCAAUUAUUACGGCAACACAGUACAAACUAACAGAGUGACAAUUGGCGCCCAACGUGAAUUUUGUGAUAACGAGCCAUUGUUACAUAACAGUGAUGAACUCAGCCAGCAACCAGGAGAUAGGAACUUUUAAUCAGUGAUUUUGAAUUUUACCUUGGAUUUUAAAUAAAUUUAUGGAAAUUUGUGGUAAUUCCAUUAAUACGGAUAUUUUAAUUCAGAAUGUUUUCUGGAUUCACAAACGGAUUUUAGCAAACCAUAAUUUUACCUAAAUAACAGUAUAAUACAGUGGAAUAAAAACAGUUACGGAACAGUGGAAUAAAAACAGUUAAAUUUCAGACAGUGAUUUAGAUUUAUAAAUUGUUACGUUUUGGAGUUUGAAAAGUGUGACAACUUUUCAUUUCGACAGCCGGAGGAGAGAACAGUGAUAGGGAUAAUUGACAGUGAGAUUUAUUUGAAAAACAGUGAGAACAGUGACAGUUACAGUGGAAUAAAUGAAAACUUAAAUUUAGAACCUGAAACAAGGAGCUAAGUGAAAUUUACAAUUUAAGACAGUGGAUAGUUUUGUGGUGAUAGUGGCAUAGACAUUUUACAAUAUUUUACAGUUAAGUCAAGAUUUUUACAGUAAAGUACAGUUAUCAACUGACUGACCUAAACAGAUCACAGUGUGUUUGUGUGUGUGUUUUUCUGGACUGAGUACUGCUGUAACAUAUGGUGCAUUUAGGUCCACAACCUGGUAAGCAUAAUUUGUAUUUGUAACCUGUAAUUAAUUGUAUAACUAUAUAUGUAUAUGUAUGUUUAUACACUACCUAAGUAUAUGUAUUUUUAGUUGUAAUAUGCCACUACACACACAUGUAUAUGUUUCAUCCUGAAAUGUUAUUAUUUGAUUUAAAGAGAUAUGCUUAAUAUGAA